GGGGAGUGGGUAGGGAGGGAGGUGAAGAUGUAUUUGUGUUACAGACAAAAGACAAGUUCUGUUCCUCAGCAGGGACAAAUGAAGAACCAGAUGAGGGGAUAAACUGAGGUUCUUAUAGUACCAUGUUGGCAAUGUUCUAUGCAUGGCCCCACAGGUCGUCUUUUGGAAAAGAUGGUGGAAGAGAAUAUAGAUAGAACCAAAUAGGCCUUCCAGAAGACAGUGGGUGGAGACCAGCCCACUAUCAGUUAGCCACAGUGAAAUCUGCUUGUAGGAGACACUGGUGCUUUCCUGUGCUUGGAAUUGACUGCCCCAGCUUCUUCAAUAUCUCAAUGGAUUUCAAUGACAAGAUCCUCAAAAACAAGGAAAGUCCAGUAUCUCUCUAACUCUGAAGUGGUUCAUCCCCAAGCACUGGACUAACCCAAACACUACUUCUCUUGGGAGGCAUGGAAAACUGACAGAGAGAGGAGGAAAAACAAACAACAACAACAACAACAACAACAAAAACAACCAGUUAAGCACAAGACUGAAAACCUAGCUGGUGAUCAAUCAGAACCAACCAAGCGGAGGUUACUUAUCUGGGUUUUGUUUUGUUUGAGGGGGUGGGAGGUUUCUCAGCCCAUAGCCACCAUGAGGCUUAUAUGAGAAAAGGCAUGCCAUUCUAUCCUCAAAUAGUCCAAAGAGUUGGAGGGGACAAUUUACAGCCUCUUGUGUAAAAAAUGUCUAUAAAUGCCAGUGCCAUUCUUUGCCUUGUCACUUCCCAUUAUCCUAAACCAACAGGAUUCUAUUCACUGAGACUUGAGUUGGAAACAUGAACGGACAGGCCUUUCUUGGGCAGGGGGA